rnacentral:rRNA from 1 species
CAGUCGCCGCGGUAAUACAGAGGGUGCGAGCGUUAAUCGGAUUUACUGGGCGUAAAGCGUGCGUAGGCGGCUUCUUAAGUCGGAUGUGAAAUCCCUGAGCUUGACUUAGGAAUUGCAUUCGAUACUGGGAAGCUAGAGUAUGGGAGAGGAUGGUAGAAUUCCAGGUGUAGCGGUGAAAUGCGUAGAGAUCUGGAGGAAUACCGAUGGCGAAGGCAGCCAUCUGGCCUAAUACUGACGCUGAGGUACGAAAGCAUGGGGAGCAAACAGGAUUAGAUACCCCCGUAGUCCCUGUCUCUUAUAC